rnacentral:misc_RNA from 1 species
GAUGAAGAACGUAGCGAAAUGCGAUAAGUAAUGUGAAUUGCAGAAUUCAGUGAAUCAUCGAAUCUUUGAACGCACAUUGCGCCCCUUGGUAUUCCGGGGGGCAUGCCUGUUCGAGCGUCAUUAUCACCCCUCAAGCUCAGCUUGGUGUUGGGCCUCCGUCCUCCUCCCGGGGGACGGGCCCGAAAGGCAGCGGCGGCACCGCGUCCGGUCCUCGAGCGUAUGGGGCUUCGUCACCCGCUCUUGUAGGCCCGGCCGGCGCUUGCCGACACAUCAAUCUUUUUUCCAGGUUGACCUCGGAUCAGGUAGGGAUACCCGCUGAACUUAAGCAUAUCAAUAAGCGGAGGA